UCAAAGAUUUUGUUAUGCUGUAUUGGAAGAACGAGAUGAGGCCGAUGACAACCCACAGGAUGGCAGAGAUGCAUAAGUGAGAAAGUACACCCUCUCUGCUCAGUAGGAAUAAUUCAGCUGAUGAAUUGAAUUUCAUGUUUUUUUCUAUUUAGUUAAGACUUCUUACUUAUUAUAACUCGUGUUAGUAGCUGCAGUGAAUUUUGUUGAUUUGUGUGUAAGAUAAAAGCCUGCAUAUCCGAAGAAAUUUAGCUAAUUUAGAAAAUUUGUCGUAUGAGAAAUAACAGCUAUCUUCGUUUUCUUUAACUCGACGUUAAAUCCGUUUAUCUAUUGCUGGAAGAUAAAAGGAGUGAGAAACAGUAAAGGAGACAAUUGGAAACGCACGUUGCUCUUAAUGAAUUCGUAAAUUGUGAUAGUUAAAUAUCUAUUGAUGCUUUGAAAGUCAAUUCAUAAAAAAAUAUGAUCGCUAGAAGAGAAGGAAACUUUAAGGUAUCUUUUGUUCGCGGAUAGGAGGAGAUCAAAUUGAACUUUUAUUACCAUCCGGAACAUAUAGAAAGACAUUCCUGAGUGAAGAAUGUAUAAGAUUUUUAGAAGAAAAGGAAAGGACACAUGCUUGUAGUUCGAUAAGAAGAACAAAGAGUUCAAGAGAUCGUGCACAAGCUAGUAACUCUUGAUCGUGAAAACUUUAUUUACGCGAAUCACCAGAGGAACAUCAGAAUGUCAGCGGACAAUGUCACAGUAAUUCUGUGUUUCUUGCACACAUAUAACAAAAAAAGAUUACCCAUGAUAAAAAAAAAAGCUCUAGGUAGAAAGGGUUCGCUGUUUAAUUUGUUUGAAAUGAGAAAGUUAACGAAAAAUGAAACUUAUACUGUUGACAAGGAAAAUGUGUGAAUAAGUUUGUUCUACUUGCUCUUAAACUUUAUAGUUACAGUCAACCCUUGAAGUAAAAUUGAUCAUUUUGAGUCA